UAACUGCCUGCCCAGGACCCCACGUUACCACAGGGGUCCUGGCCAAUCACCAGGCAGCCUUUCACUGCCGUGCUUUUUCACACCAAACAGCUGUCCCUGCCCACUCUCCCUGGCCAAUCACCAGGUGGUUGUCCCUGCCUUUCUCUUUCUGACCAAUCACCAGGCUGCGUUCAGCUGUUAUCACAUCCUGUAGCCAAUCCCCAGGCAGAAUGGCUGUCCAAUCACCAGGCAGCUCUCUCCCAUGUCCUCCUGCCCUCCUCCACCAGUGGCCAUCUUGGACUCAUGAGCUGUUGGGCGGUGGCAGCUGCUGGUCUUUUCUGGGACAGAGCCUGGCAGCCUCUCCUCUGUGGCCCAGUCUUCCUUUCCCAGACUACAUGCCAGUGCUGAGGACCUCUGGGCUCUCUCCACUUGUACUCCAUCAGUCUUCAUCAGUUGAGGAUAUUCUUUUUUAGACAUACUGAUCUCUAGAACCCAAGCACAGCUGCUGAGAUGACUACAAUUAUGAUUGGAAGGAAAAGAGAAGUGCUGCCAAUCCUCCUCCACAAUCAGAGUGAUCUUCCUGCCUGGGUUUUCAUCACCCCAUGCCCCUGCUCAGCAGCUGCCUGCUCCCACAGGAACUCAGCCCUGCCAAUGUCUGCUGAAGAUGCUCCUAACCACUUGUCAAGGACCGUGCCACGUAUCAGAGGGUUAUUGUCAUUGUUAUUGUCACAGUGCAAAACCAAUCUGAAUGAAGAGAGAACCAAGUACCUGCUUCUGCCCUUAACAAACAUAUAUGCCUUAAAGACAGAAGCUAAGUUGUGAACAUGGAUAAAAGUGUUUUUUUUUAUGAGGACUGUAUUUAUGGUGACUGUACUUAAUGAUGUUUGAUUGUAUAUUGUACAUUGUAUUGUCUAUUUGAAUGCUUCUGUGACAGCUGAUCUUAAAUUUAUUAUCGAAAGCAAACAUGUAACCAUGGGGAGAGAGACUGAAUAACAAACUCCAACCACCACUACCUGUUUACCACUUUGCUGUUUUUAAGUUAAAAGAGGGACUAGAAGACAGCAGCAGAUGCCCCACUACACUUAUCUCAGCUAAGGACUGAAACUGGAGGCUCGCCCAGCACUUUCUCCAACAGCUCCAACCAGAUGACAGUGGCAAACAUAGUGGACACCAAACAACCCUGAAGUCUGAGUCUUGGACAUGGAAGUGGCCCGGUCCCCUGCACUGAGCAGGCUGACUGCAUCUGGCUAUGACACGCAGUAGUCUCAGCAGUAACAAUGACCAGACCUUCCUUUUAUUCAGUUUCCACCUGAGUUCCUAAAUAGAGUACGGUUGUCUGCAAGUGGCUAAAGGCAUGGAUAAGGGAAAGCACAUUCCAUGAACUUUAAGGAAUGACUAGGGGCUGUAAAAGGCAGAGGACUACCCCCACCAGAGUUUUCCCACCCCCAUAAGAUGCUUUUGUCAGUCAGGCAGGUAACUGUGGUGUUGGCCCAGGGGUACCCAGGUCCUCUGGCCUCCUGCCCUGCCCAUCUCCCCAGAGGACAGGAAGUGAAGCUUCAGCUAGUGCAUCCCUGGUGUAGUUCCUGGUGUGGAAGAUGAGCUGGUUAACACCCCACAGAUACUGGGGAGAACCUCCACCCCUUGAGCACUUCCUCUGUUUUACUCUAGUCUGGUCAGAACUGGGCAGCUGGACCAGAAAGGAAGUGGGGGCUGGGUAAUGAAGUGCUCCUGGUGGUCUCUGCAGGAGCCCUGCCCUGGAACACAGGACAGUUGUCCCCAUGGGUUAAAGUGGGCAGAUGGGUGACACCUGCCCUAACAGGAAACAAAAGCCAAAUAUCCAUGUCCACCGGGUGCCCUGAAGGUCAUUCAGGAUUCCAGGGAGUCCACCCUUGACCCGCACCCUGUGCCAGGGUUGACGGGGCUCCUCUCAGCCCAGGAAGCAUUUUAAGUGAUAGUCUACCUGUUUGGGGCUCAUCUAUCCUGAGGGGGCAACAAGCGGCAACUCUGGUACCAGGGAGUGAGGCAAACUUGUGGAAAAGAGAGGGGAAGUUUUUGCUGACACCAUCCCCACUGUCCCCUGUCCCCAGUGGGGCCCAUUAGGACGAUGAGCAUGUCCCUUGGUCAGCAGGAUUUGCACACUGUGCUCCUCGUGCCCCAGAGCUCAGGGCCCUCCAGGGACUGCUGUGCUGCUUGCCAUGGCAGGGAUGAUGGGCUUGCAUUCAAGUGCAUCUCUCUCCUAAUUUGUUCCAUGGGAAGGAAUUCCAGGAGUCCUGGCUGCUUCCUGCCAGAGCCCUCCCCACUCCCACAGUGCUUCCCCAGCUGAGGAGUCCCCCCUCCAAGUGCUGCUCUCUGUGCAUCCUCUCUGUCCUGUUUCCCCUUCUGGCUCUGCAACUUACCCUGUGAUGCACUUUCCUGGUUCCUGACUUUGCCGCCUGCCCAUCCUUGAGUUAGGACGUCAAUAUAAAGACAAGCAAAAAAAUAAGAUACAUACAUACAUGCUAACUCUUUCCCAGCAGGGAGAACCAGUAUCUACUGACCUGCUCCAGCUGCUGGACAUUGAGUAGGAACCCGCUACUGAGCUCCUCCCCUCACAGAACUCCCAGUCUUCCUGGUUCAUUCUCGACUUUCGCAAAGCUUUGUUCUAGGUUACAGACCCACUUAUCAAGUCACUUAGUUUGGUUUCCAAUCAAGAGUAGCUGGUAAUUGAAGAAAAUAUUUUGUGAAUUUUCAGUUGGAUUUACUUUAAUGGAGGUGUCUUGGGUAUAAAUACAAGUCUGCAAAUAAUAGCUGGAAGGUACAAAAUAUCGAUUUGUUGCCUCUAGCAAGAAAUUCAAUAAUUUAGAUUAGCAAAAAUAAUUUCCAAAAUUUGAUCUUUUUGGUUUGCUGUUGACGAACAUAAACCAAGAAAUGAAUGGGUUUUGUUUAUCAAGUUAGACUCGGUAUUUGGUCGAAGCAUAAUUUGGUGUUAUUAUCAGAGAGAUAAAUGGAAAACACUUUGAUGAAGCAGUUUUUCAAUUAGGAGCCAUGAUCGUAGAAGCGUAUAAAACCAACACAAACACAAUGUGCGUCAAAUGCUAUAAUCAGUUAGGAACAGUGAUGUGGGGCAAACAGAGAGGAAAGGGAAGUGUAAGGCAUCUGCACAGAGGAGACAUUUAAGCACAUUGGAGGAAGUGGUGUACUUAGUUUCAUCCCCUUUUCACAUGUUGAUGCUCAAAACUUUACAGUCUUGUGGUCUUUCUGUGGAAACAGCACACCUCAGGGGACCCCUUGGCAUACCUGCUUCCCGAAGUUAUGAAAUUCGAGUGGGACCCAGUAGGUGGAUGAGAACUCCCCUCCCUUUAGUUCCCUGAGCACAGACAGCAUUUCUGGUGAAGGACGAGGGCUUCAGUCACUACCCUGUAACCCCAGUCCUGUGCAGUGGUGCUCAUCAUGAAAGGAUCUCAGUCUCAGAGUCCAACCUUCAUUGUGUUCCCAGCACAGAAAGAGUGAACGGCAUUUCUGGUUUCACCAGUCCCCUUAAAAACAAAUCACAGCUAAUAAGAUUCUAAAUCAAUGAAUUGUGGAUUGAAAGCUAAAGAGAGUGAAUUUAUAUCACCAUGUCUUACCCCCUUAAAAAUAAAAAAUUAUUAUCAUAACAUGGUUAUUGAAUAAUAUUUGUCUUACAUUUGUGAAAACAGAAACACUGUUUUCCUGGGCUAGGUUUAAUUAAGGGAAGUGUUGUACCAAUAAAACAGGUGACCAGGCCAGGGAACCUCAUCCUGGAUUAAAUGGAAAUCUGUGUGUGCCCAGUGCUGAUAACAACAUAUGAUUAUGCAAAUAAGCUGGCAUCUCUUAAAUGAUACUAUAAUCCAAUAAUGUUAUAAUGUCAUAAAAAUUUUUGUUUGCUUCAGUGUGUUAAGUAUGGAUUAUAGGAACUUUUUAUGUACCUAUAUAAAACAAUAAUUCCAUAAACGUAGGAUUCUUUUUUGAAAAAAAAAAGAUACUCUUUACUUAAUUAUAUAAGGGAAUGUAAGCAUCUUUACAUUUUUAAUUUUUUUUUUAUUUUUAGAGGUGUGGGGGGAGAGACAGAGAAAGAGGGAGAGAGAAUCUUAAAUAGGUUCCACACCUUGCUCAGAGCCCAGCAUUGGGACUCCAUCACAUAUGACCAGAGCUGAAAUCAAGUCAGGCACUUAACCCACUGACUCACCCAGGGGCCCGAACCAUUGGUACACUUACAAAAAAUGUUGGAAACACUGUUGUACUAAGUCGCUUUUAUGAGAAUAGCUGCAGAUUACAGUGAAAUGGCCACAUUGGUGAGCAUCAUAUUACAUUUAUGAAUAUAUAUGUUAAUUUUUCCAGGGCAAAUUAAGUUAUAUUGCUUUAUUAAUUGAUCAAUAAGAGGAUUGGUCAUUGAUAUAGUUUUUAAACUCCUGUUUCCAAGCAUAUACACUGAGAACCAUUUGCAACAAUUAAACGCAACGUGAAUUCUUUACACGCUUCAGUGUCACAGAAGGGAGUUAUUUUCACAGCAUUCCAUGCUUGCUACACACAGAUUGUCCAUUGAACCUAAAAUUUUAUCAUUUGUCACCACUUAAUUUUUUUUUUAGGAUUUUAUUUUUAUUCCAGUUAGAUAACAUACAUCACAAUAUUAGUUUCAGGUGUACAAUGUAGUGAGACAACACUCCCAUACAAUACCUGGUGCUCAUCACAGGUGCACUCCUUAUACCCAUCCUCCAUUUAACCCAUCCCCUACAUCCUCCCUUCUGGUGACCAUCAGCUUUUUCUCCAGAGUGAAGGGUCUGUUAUUGGUUUGCCUCUCUUUUUUUUUCCCCUUUGCUCCUUUGUUUCUUGAAUUCACUGAAAUCAUAUGGCAUUUAUCUUUCUCUGACUGAUUCACUUCACUUAGCAUAAUACUCUCUAGCUUCAUUCAUGCCAUUGCAAAUGGC
ensembl:lncRNA